AGUGGCAGACGGGUGAGUAACAUGUGGGUAUCUACCCUUUGGCCUGGAAUAACACGAGGAAACUUGUGCUAAUACCGGAUAAGUCUUUACGGAGAAAGCUUUAUGCACCAUUGGAUGAGCCCGCACUUGAUUAGUUUGUUGGUAGGGUAAUGGCCUACCAAGACUAUGAUCAAUAGCUGAUUUGAGAGGAUGAUCAGCCACAUUGGGACUGAGACACGGCCCAAACUCCUACGGGAGGCAGCAGUGGGGAAUCUUGCACAAUGGAGGAAACUCUGAUGCAGCGAUGCCGCGUGAGUGAAGAAGGCCUUUGGGUUGUAAAGCUCUUUCGUCGGGGAAGAAAAUGACUGUACCCGAAUAAGAAGGUCCGGCUAACUUCGUGCCAGCAGCCGCGGUAAUACGAAGGGACCUAGCGUAGUUCGGAAUUACUGGGCUUAAAGAGUUCGUAGGUGGUUGAAAAAGUUGGUGGUGAAAUCCCAGAGCUUAACUCUGGAACUGCCAUCAAAACUUUUCAGCUAGAGUAUGAUAGAGGAAAGCAGAAUUUCUAGUGUAGAGGUGAAAUUCGUAGAUAUUAGAAAGAAUACCAUUUGCGAACGCAGCUUUCUGGAUCAUUACUGACACUGACGAACGAAGCAUGGGUAGCGAGAGAAUAGAUACCCUCGUAGUCCAUGCGU
rnacentral:rRNA from 1 species